UGUUCAUAUCACGCUGAAUACACAGGUUCUCGUCCGAUUACUGAAAUUAAGCAGCAUCAGGCGCGGUUAGUACUUGGAUGGGUGACCGCCUGGGAACACCACAUGUU